CUGUGAAUGGAUAUUUCCAAAGGACUUUAAUACUAAGAUAUGGGAAUACUGACUUGAAUUUUGCAAUAAAAAUGUGUUUUCCUCAGUUGCAACAUCUUGCAAAGGAGACCAGAUUACUCAAGCCCAUUCUCCUAAUGGGGACAUUAGGAGAAUCUGGACAAAUUUUACAUUUAAAAAAUUCUGCCCAAAAGCACUGGGAAGACAAUAAUACAGGUGAAGAUCACUGAAAUUAAAGAAACAAAGUGAGGAAAACCUGGCAUUUGUGGCUGCUUUCACCUCACUUUGUCAAUUUAAAAAGAAAAGAGUGGCUUUUAUUCUUUUUUUUUUUUUUUUUCCUAUAGAAGCUGAGAAGCUAAGCAGAUCUUUUGUUGUCUUGGAGCUAAGGGAAAAGAAAAAAUGGAGUAGAUGAAUGACCAUAAAGAAGAUAGAUUUCCUCAUGCUGGUUUGUCAAUGUCCACUAUUGGUUAAAACUGGGAAAUUUUACAGGGUACCUGCAGCUAAAAAGAGUAACUUAUGUCUUAAUUUACAAGGCACUGCCCUCAACUUUGUGAUCAGCACCACGCCAUGUCCAAAAUCUGCUUGCCAGCCUAGAGGAAAGAGAACAGGGGCCCAGGACCAGCAACUUGACUUUUAAUUUGGAACUGACCCAGAAGUCAUGUAUAUAAUUUUUGCUCUCAUUUCCUUAAAGAGAAUGGAGUCAGAUAGCCACGCAGGUUGCCACAAGGCUGGGAAAUGUGAUCUCCAGCUUUGAUGCCACUUUUCCAGCUUUGACUCUCUUUCUGUGAAAAGAGCCAGGGAUUAAAAUUUGGUGUAAGUUAGUCAUCUCUGCUGGGCUUCCCAAGUGGCUCAUCAGGUAAAGAAUCCCGUUAACACAGGAGAUAGAUGCAGAAGGUGUGGGUUGGAUCCCUGGGUGGGGAAGAUACUUUUGGAGGAGGAAACGACAACCCACUCCAGUAUGUCUGCCUGGAAAAUUCCAUGGACAGAGGAGCCUGCUGGGCUACAGUUCAUGGGGUCACAAAGAGUCAGGCAUGACUGAGCAUACACAUACACACACACACACACACACACAUGCAUGCACACACGCACACAGUGAACUCUGCCACAGAGACUAUAUUCAUUUAUUUUUAUAAAUCUUGAAAUAUUUUUCAAAGUUGCUGCACAAAGCAUUCAUUAAUUAAAUCUCUUCAAAAUGUUCGUAACUGUAUUUUAUUGAUCAGUAGUGCAAACCAAUCAAAAAUUUUAAUGAUAGGAAGAUUAACAUCAACAGGUUUAGGAAAUAAUGUAAUUGACUCUAGCAAACAUCUCCAUUUAUAGAAACAGAAGAAUGUGGGUAUAUGAGGCAUUUACAUAUUGCCACAAGCAUUGGUGGUGUCCUAGGCUUUAGUGAGUUUGGUUUACAAAAAGGUUGGAGAAUACAACUUCAUCUUGUGGGUUGGUUAAAUGGAGCCAGUUAAGACAGCUUCUUCUGUACCACCUUUUCUGUGGCACUUAUCAUUUUGUUCUGAACACCACCUCCCUAAAAUGCACUCAAAACUAUCCUCUAAUAAUGUUACAUUGAAAAAAUUUUUUAUAUUUCUCAUGGAUGUUGGUGUUUUUUGAGUAAAUACUGCCUACACUGAAGAGUUUUUGGCCAAUUUUUUGCUAUUAUAUCUAAAAUGGAGUUUUCGUAUAUAAGAUAAUUCAACAGAAACCAAAGUUUUCAUAUGGGCAAUGAUUUGACAGGAUAUCAAAAUAAAUGAUAAUAUACAUUAAUAAAGUAACCCA
ensembl:lncRNA